rnacentral:rRNA from 1 species
UACAGAGGGGGCAAGCGUUGUUCGGAAUUACUGGGCGUAAAGGGCGCGUAGGCGGCCUGUUAAGUCGAAUGUGAAAUCCCCGGGCUCAACCCGGGAACUGCGUCCGAUACUGGCAGGCUUGAAUCCGGGAGAGGGAUGCGGAAUUCCAGGUGUAGCGGUGAAAUGCGUAGAUAUCGGAAGGAACACCAGUGGCGAAAGCGGCUUCCUGGUCCAGCAUCGACGUUCAGGCACGAAAGCGUGGGGAGCAAACAGG